AGUGAACGCUGGCGGUAGGCCUAACACAUGCAAGUCGAACGGCAGCACAGUAAGAGCUUGCUCUUACGGGUGGCGAGUGGCGGACGGGUGAGGAAUACAUCGGAAUCUACUUUUUCGUGGGGGAUAACGUAGGGAAACUUACGCUAAUACCGCAUACGACCUACGGGUGAAAGCAGGGGAUCUUCGGACCUUGCGCGAUUGAAUGAGCCGAUGUCGGAUUAGCUAGUUGGCGGGGUAAAGGCCCACCAAGGCGACGAUCCGUAGCUGGUCUGAGAGGAUGAUCAGCCACACUGGAACUGAGACACGGUCCAGACUCCUACGGGAGGCAGCAGUGGGGAAUAUUGGACAAUGGGCGCAAGCCUGAUCCAGCCAUACCGAGUGGGUGAAGAAGGCCUUCUGGUUGUAAAGCCCUUUUGUUGGGAAAGAAAAGCAGCAGGUUAAUACCCCGCUGUUCUGACGGUACCCAAAGAAUAAGCACCGGCUAACUUCGUG
rnacentral:rRNA from 1 species